CAAUAGCGUAUAUUUAAGUUGUUGCAGUUAAAAAGCUCGUAGUUGGAUUUCGGAUGGGAUCUGCCGGUCCGUCUUUGGGAUGUGUACUGGUAGGUCCUAUCUUGUUGUCGGGGACCAGCUCCUGGGCUUCACUGUCCGGGACUGGGAGCCGACGAAGUUACUUUGAGUAAAUUAGAGUGUUCAAAGCAAGCCUACGCUCUGAAUAUAUUAGCAUGGAAUAACACGAUAGGACUCUGGCUUAUCUUGUUGGUCUGUGAGACCAGAGUAAUGAUUAAGAGGGACAGUCGGGGACAUUCGUAUUUCAUUGUCAGAGGUGAAAUUCUUGGAUUUAUGAAAGACGAACUUCUGCGAAAGCAUUUGUCAAGGAUGUUUUCAUUAA
rnacentral:rRNA from 1 species